rnacentral:rRNA from 1 species
AGCGAACGCUGGCGGCAGGCCUAACACAUGCAAGUCGAACGAAGUCUUCGGACUUAGUGGCGGACGGGUGAGUAACACGUGGGAACGUGCCUUUAGGUUCGGAAUAACUCAGGGAAACUUGUGCUAAUACCGAAUGUGCCCUUCGGGGGAAAGAUUUAUCGCCUUUAGAGCGGCCCGCGUCUGAUUAGCUAGUUGGUGAGGUAGAGGCUCACCAAGGCUACGAUCAGUAGCUGGUCUGAAAGGAUGACCAGCCACAUUGGGACUGAGACACGGCCCAAACUCCUACGGGAGGCAGCAGCGGGGAAUCUUGCGCAAUGGGCGAAAGCCUGACGCAGCCAUGCCGCGUGGAUGAUGAAGGUCUUAGGAUUGUAAAAUCCUUUCACCGGUGAAGAUAAUGACUGUAGCCGGAGAAGAAGCCCCGGCUAACUUCGUGCAGCAGCCGCGGUAAUAC